CAAUAGCGUAUAUUAAAGUUGUUGCGGUUAAAAAGCUCGUAGUUGGAUUUCUGCUGAGAACGACCGGUCCGCCCAUUGGGUGUGUAUCUGGCUCUUUCUUGGCAUCUUCUUGGUGAACGUUACUGCACUUGACUGUGUGGAGCGCUACCCAGGACUUUUACUUUGAGGAAAUUAGAGUGUUUCAAGCAGGCAUACGCCUUGAAUACGUUAGCAUGGAAUAAUAAGAUAGGACCUCGGUUCUAUUUUGUUGGUUUCUAGAGCUGAGGUAAUGAUUAAUAGGGAUAGUUGGGGGCAUUCGUAUUUAACUGUCAGAGGUGAAAUUCUUGGAUUUGUUAAAGACGGGCUACUGCGAAAGCAUUUGCCAAGGAUGUUUUCAUUGA
rnacentral:rRNA from 1 species